rnacentral:rRNA from 1 species
UAACCUACCUAUAAGACUGGGAUAACUUCGGGAAACCGGAGCUAAUACCGGAUAAUAUUUUGAACCGCAUGGUUCAAAAGUGAAAGACGGUCUUGCUGUCACUUAUAGAUGGAUCCGCGCUGCAUUAGCUAGUUGGUAAGGUAACGGCUUACCAAGGCAACGAUGCAUAGCCGACCUGAGAGGGUGAUCGGCCACACUGGAACUGAGACACGGUCCAGACUCCUACGGGAGGCAGCAGUAGGGAAUCUUCCGCAAUGGGCGAAAGCCUGACGGAGCAACGCCGCGUGAGUGAUGAAGGUCUUCGGAUCGUAAAACUCUGUUAUUAGGGAAGAACAUAUGUGUAAGUAACUGUGCACAUCUUGACGGUACCUAAUCAGAAAGCCACGGCUAACUACGUGCCAGCAGCCGCGGUAAUACGUAGGUGGCAAGCGUUAUCCGGAAUUAUUGGGCGUAAAGCGCGCGUAGGCGGUUUUUUAAGUCUGAUGUGAAAGCCCACGGCUCAACCGUGGAGGGUCAUUGGAAACUGGAAAACUUGAGUGCAGAAGAGGAAAGUGGAAUUCCAUGUGUAGCGGUGAAAUGCGCAGAGAUAUGGAGGAACACCAGUGGCGAAGGCGACUUUCUGGUCUGUAACUGACGCUGAUGUGCGAAAGCGUGGGGAUCAAACAGGAUUAGAUACCCUGGUAGUCCACGCCGUAAACGAUGAGUGCUAAGUGUUAGGGGGUUUCCGCCCCUUAGUGCUGCAGCUAACGCAUUAAGCACUCCGCCUGGGGAGU